rnacentral:tRNA from 2 species
AGAAAUUUAGUUAAAAAUAACAUUAAUAUGUCAUAUUAAAAUUAUUGAUAAUAAUUCAAUAAAUUCUA